rnacentral:lncRNA from 1 species
UUAAACAUAAGUAAUACGCCAAAUAUUCAUUCAUUCUAGUAAACCACAUCGAGUAUAUCCUAUGAGCUGAAAGAAACCCAUAUUCUCAUAUAUUGGAUAUAAAAAUCUGCAUUGCAAAAUUUGAGAAAUACCUGGAUUGCAGAAAAUAAAUACAGCAGUAAAAAAUGGAGCUCCGCAACGAAAAAAACAGCAGAAAACAACAGCAGUUUCGUGUUUAAAAUAGCCCGAAAACCUUAGAGAAUAAACCCAGAACCAACUCUAAAGAAGACUCAUACUUUUCUAAAAGUUUGCACUCUAAAAUAUACUCACAAAGCUCACCAUUUCAGCUUACUAAAGGGUGCUUUAGUUGAUGAUUUUUUACUCCCAAAAUUGUAUUUUUAGGGUGUAAAAACUGUCCAACAAAUGUGUGAUGGAGUCCCCCUUCCAAUGAGUGAGAGGAGACCCCUUUAAGUAGGAAAAGCAAGCACCUUUGGACAGAUUUUGGUUCACCAAAAAUCUGUCUAAAAGACUUGCUUUUUCUCACCAAAAACUUGUCCAAGGCCUGUCCAAAUAAGAGAAAGGACAAUCCUUUUCACUAAAUUUAGACACAAUAAGACUAGUUAUACUCUUAGCAUGCUUCAAAUAGUAAAAGUAACCAACUAUGUACUCUACUCAAUCAUUCCUUUCUACACCCUCAACUUUAACAUUAGCAACUAAAGGAGUAAAGGACUAUAUUUCAUCACAUUGAAAUUGAUAAAAGCCAACAGAAGACUAGUAUAAUUGUAAACAAUUGAAUCUCUCCGACAAAGAACCAAACUAACUAGCUAAUUCGAACUUCAAUCAAAUUCAUCACAUGAAUCAAAAUCGAAUAGAGCUAAUACAAGUAUUAAGAGAAUCGUUAACAAGCACAACCAAACUGUAGUUAUGAAAGAAACUGAACAUAUGACCAACGCAAUUUAGAAAAUAAAAUAGAACCUAAAUUAAACUAAAGAUAAAUUUAACAUAAAGCAAAGAGGAGAGAAAAAUGAAAAAGGAUUAGGAUUUCAACCUGUAUUAUCUAUGAAAGUGAUUAUCAAACUAGCUAACAAAGAAGAAAUGAUUAACAGAACUUAAACCUAUACUAAAAUACUAAAAUCAAUCACAAAAUAUAGAAAAAAAAGUGAGAAAGGGAAUCGAUAUUACCCAACUUCAAACAUUCGGGCAGUAGCGGUAGCACGACAGAAUUGGCAGUUGCUCGGUUCGAGCAAGCUUCGAUUGUUGAUAUUCAUCGAAACCAAGAACUCCGGCGAAUCUGAGUCCUAUUUCAAUGAUAUCAACAACACAACCUUGCUCGAGGCCGGUUUGAAAGGAGAAACGAGAGGCAAGAGGCAGUGGUGGUUGAGGGGUGGCAGCGACGGCGGUGGAUCGGUAGUGGGGAGGUCGCCGGAUCUUCAUCGCCGGAUUUUCGAGGUGAAAUUGACAUCAAUAGGUAGGUCUUAAAGAACCCUAUCCGUUGAUAUUGGUAUUGUAGGGUAGUGGUGGCCGGAGUUUCACGAAUUUGGUCAAAAAGGUGGCGGCUAGGGUUUCCUAGAUCUAAAAUUCGUGGGUUUUGAGGGGUUUUUAAGGAAUUUAGCUUGGAGAUUCAGAAAGAGGGGGUUAAGGAGGGCAUAGGAUGAAAACAUGGGGCCUAUUGGACCACCACCGGUGGCGGCGCAUGGUGGUGGUAGUGGUGGAGCGGCGACGGCUUUAAGAGAGGGUGAGAGAGAGAAGAGAGUAGGGGGCGAUUU